AUGUGCGGCAACCAGGAGGAGUCGCUGUUUCACUCUCUGGUUACAUGCGAUCAUGCAAAAUUAUUUUGGAGGGAGGCAAAAGAUUUCUUCGAGUUUAAGACACCACGGCUACACCCAGCAACGUGGUCGAGGGACUUGCUUGAUCCCAGCUUUAUUGGAACAGACCGGGCGGCCAUCAUUAUUUCAGUCAUGUGGACAAUUUGGUCAAGUAGAAACAAAUACACGCAUGAGGAGGUCAAAUAUCAGCCCGGGAGGUCGAUGGUCCUAGUGAAGGAACUCAUCCAAGCUUUGUACAUCCCGGCCGAUGCUGCCGAGGAGAGAAGUCUUGUGAAGGAGAGAUGGAAACCACCGGAAGCGGGAUGGUGCAAAAUCAAUACGGACGCUGCGGUGGACGCGAAUGGGGUUUCCUUAGCGAUCGGACUGGUGGCUCGGGGCCACGACGGAGAGCUCAGGCUAGCCGGGGGCCGCAAGCUAUCCGGGGUGACUGAUCCGUAUUGCGCUGAACUGUUAGCUGUCAGGGAGGCUGUGCGUCUGGCUAUGGAGAAGGGCUGGACGCGGGUGACCGUCGAGACGGACUGCAAAACUGUUAUAAAUGAGUACAUGGCAACGGAGUGCAGGUCGACAGGAAGCCCGAUCAUCAGCGAAAUCAAAUCCUAUCUCCAACACUUUCAGGGUUUACGACUCAAUUAUGUUAGUAGAGAGGCCAAUAAGGUAGCUCACUGGUGCGCCAGAGAGAGUCUGGCUAGUACUUCGACUGUAAUCUCUUUUGAUGUUUUCCCUGCUUCAUUGAUUGCCCUAGUGCAAUCGCAUGCAAACCGUCUUAUUAUUGAAUAA
rnacentral:rRNA from 1 species